rnacentral:rRNA from 1 species
GAUGAACGCUGGCGGCGUGCCUAAUACAUGCAAGUCGAGCGAACUUUUGGGAGCUUGCUCCCAAGAGUUAGCGGCGGACGGGUGAGUAACACGUGGGUAACCUGCCUGUAAGACUGGGAUAACGUCGGGAAACCGGAGCUAAGACCGGAUAACAUUGAAGCCCACAUGGCCUUCAAUUAAAAGGUGGCUUUUAGCUACCACUUACAGAUGGACCCGCGGCGCAUUAGCUAGUUGGUGAGGUAACGGCUCACCAAGGCGACGAUGCGUAGCCGACCUGAGAGGGUGGUCGGCCACACUGGGACUGAGACACCGCCAAGACGCCUACGGGAGGCAGCAGUCGGGAAUGUUCCGCAAUGGACGGAAGUCUGACGGAGCAACGCCGCGCGAGAGAAGAAGGCCUUCGGGUCGUAAAGCUCUGUUGUUAGGGAAGAACAAGUAUCGUCCGAAUAGGGCGGUAUCUUGACGGUACCUAACCAGAAAGCCACGGCUAACUACGUG